rnacentral:tRNA from 1 species
AGGCCCGUAGCUCAGCGGUUAGAGCGGCGCUCUUAUACAGCGUAUGUCGGUGGUUCGAAUCCACCCGGGCCUACCG